rnacentral:rRNA from 1 species
UACAGAGGUCCCAAGCGUUGUUCGGAUUCAUUGGGCGUAAAGGGUGCGUAGGCGGCGCGGUAAGUCGGGUGUGAAAUCUCGGGGCUUAACCUGGGAACUGCAUUUGUGACUGCAAGGCUAGAGUGUGUCAGAGGGAGGUGGAACUCCGCGUGUAGCAGUGAAAUGCGUAGAGAUGCGGAGGAACACCGAUGGCGAAGGCAGCCUCCUGGGAUAACACUGACGCUCAUGCACGAAAGCGUGGGGAGCAAACAGG